CGUGUAGGCGGUUUGGCAAGUCGAGUGUGAAAUCCCACGGCUCAACCGUGGAACUGCGCUCGAAACUGCCUUACUUGAGUGCGGGAGAGGUGUGCGGAAUUCCUGGUGCAGCGGUGGAAUGCGUAGAUAUCAGGAAGAACACCGGUGGCGAAGGCGGCACACUGGCCCAGCACUGACGCUGAGGCGCGAAAGCGUGGGGAGCGAACG
rnacentral:rRNA from 1 species